GCCGGGUGUGGUGGCACGCGCCUGUAGUCCCAGCUACUCAGGAGGCUGAGACAGGAGAAUCGCUUGAACCCGGGAGGCAGAGGUUGCAGUGAGCCAAGAUCACGCCACUGCACUCCAGCCUGGGUGACAGAGCGAGACUCUGUCUCAA
rnacentral:sRNA from 1 species